rnacentral:tRNA from 1 species
GGGGUUAUAGCUCAGUGGUAGAGCACUUGCCUAGCAUGUAUGAGGCACUGAGUUUGAUUCUCAGCACUGCA